rnacentral:rRNA from 11 species
CAGUGGCGAGGUUAACCGUUUAGGGGAGCCGUAGGGAAACCGAGUCUGAAUAGGGCGAUUUAGUCGCUGGGCAUAGACCCGAAACCGGGCGAUCUAUCCAUGAGCAGGUUGAAGGUUGAGUAACAUCAACUGGAGGACCGAACCCACUGUCGUUGAAAAGCCAGGGGAUGACUUGUGGAUCGGAGUGAAAGGCUAAUCAAGCCCGGAGAUAGCUGGUUCUCCCCGAAAGCUAUUUAGGUAGCGCCUCGGACGAAUACCACAGGGGGUAGAGCACUGUUUCGGCUAGGGGGUCAUCCCGACUUACCAAACCGAUGCAAACUCCGAAUACCGAUGAGUGAUAUCCGGGAGACAGACGGCGGGUGCUAACGUCCGUCGUCAAGAGGGAAACAACCCAGACCGCCAGCUAAGGUCCCCAAGU